UUUUUACAAGCUCACCCCGGUGAAGAGUGAUUUACUCAGAGUGGUUUCUGUUUGCAGGGUGAACAGAGUGACGGCUUCCGGCUGUGAAACACUGAAGCAGGCUGGAUGAGAACAGAAAACUCUGUCAGGUUUGAAGCAAGCUGAAGGCGAAGGUGCAGUCUGCUGUUGUCCUGCGUCUCAGCAGAGAGUAUUGCACAAACAUCGAGUAAAGCAGGAAAAGUCCAGAGCAGCUGCUGGUCACCUGAACUCAUCAUCCAUUAGGUCACAGCAGUUCUUGCAGCCAUGCAGGCAGGCUGUUCUUUCCAUCCUGGAUGCUGACCAGAGCUAUGAGGCUUUGAGAGUCGGGAGGAAUCGUGCUGUCCUCUACUGCAGAUCAGGGUUUCAAACACCAGGUGAUGACGUUUCCUCACAAUAAACUGGAGCUGCUGCUCUGCUGCCGAGCUGAAGUAGAAACACAAGAAGGUACAAAUAAGAAUUGGGAAAGUAAAAUAUCCUUAAAAAAGUCAUAGUAUAGUAUAAAAAACUCAUAGUACAGUAUGCUGAAAAAAAGUGUCAUAGUACAAUUACGUCGAAAAAUAAAAGUCAGUAUAGUA